GGGUCCAACAUUACACACACCAAAUCCAUCUGUGCUCAUAUGAGAGAGUGUGAAGGACGCCCUCUGCAGCAACACUUGUUGAGAAGCUGCCUUCUGUCGCCAUCGUGUGGCAUUACUGUCUUCAGACAUUUCUUAAUCUCUUCGACUACUUCACAAAAAUAGUAAUAUGCCUCACCGAUGGCGGAUUUAAAGGCGAGGAGAGGAGCUGAUGUUAUUGGUCAAUACAGGUCUCGGCUGUGUUAAAAACACUCCACGCCCUCUCUCCUCCCUCGCUACGAUUUACGCCGCUGGGAGGAGCUGAGUUAGGGAGAGGGGAUACUUACGCCGGGCUGCGCCGCUCACCAAAAUACUAAAUUGUGCUUGGUAACGCCUUGUUGGGGCGGCGGACCUGACUUACGCUGCUCCUGUGGCACGUCUCCGGCGAGGCACGAAAAUAGAGCACCUUGUGUGCUGAGGCAGCCUGUGACCAAAGUCAAAAUAAGCAGAUGGAUACCUCAAGCCUUCAAUACCUUAAAUCAACAGACUGGAAUGUGCUGCUGGAAACAGAUGUGGAUAAUAUGAACACUGACAAACAGGUUGACUGCUUCACUGAAUAUGUACAUUUCUGUGGAGACACAGUUAUACCCACAAAGACUGUUUUCUGUUUCCACAACAACAAACCCUGGAUCACAAGUGACACAAGAGCAAUCCUUAACCAGAAAAAGAAAGCUUUUAAAGAUGGUGACAAAGAACUACUCAAAUGGGUGCAACAAGAGUUGAAGAGGAGACUGAAGAUGGCAAAGCUGGAGUACAAAAAGAAGAUAGAGAAGAAUCUACAACACAGCAACAUCUGUGAAGUGUGGAGAGGAAUCAGUACCAUCUCUGGACACAGCAGUAAAAAGAAAAGACAGCCAGUGGUGAGUGAUCUGGAAAAAGCUGAUGAACUCAACCUGUUCUUCAACAGAUUUGGAACUGCAGUCACACUCACUUCCACUGCUACUCCACCUUCCUCUCCGCAUCAAAUCUCCACUACAACUUAUCCCGUUACUCCUCCAUCUCAUUCAAAUGUCUCAACCACUUCAACUGCCUCCCUUCUAGAACACCAGUCCUUGUCUGUCAUCGAAACAGGGGUGAGGAUGGAGCUUGGAAGACUUUGUCCUGGGAAGGCAGCUGGUCCAGAUGGUGUGUGUCCAAGGCUGACUGUGCUGCAGAACUGUGUCAACCUCUCCACAGGAUCUUCAACAUGAGUCUACAGCUGGGUUGGGUACCUACUUUGUGGAAAACAUCUGCAUUGUGCCAGUAACAAAAACAAAAUGUCCUGCUGAACUCAGUAGUUGGGUUUCCAUUACCCAUAGAUUUGCGCAAAACCUAAAUAUCGCAAUAGAAAGCUGGUAAUGGAAACACCUAAAUUUCGAAAAACCUCUCAAAUAUCGCUAAAAAGUUUUUACGCUCUCAUGAAGUGGUUUUUCAGACGUGUCAAUAUAGAAGUAUAUCGCAAAAGUGUAAUGGAAACACUAUUCACUCAAUUGUAUGUCACCGGAUGUGACAUAGCGGGUCAUGUGACCAGUUCAUUUCAGGCAAAGAUGGCGCGGUAUGUGUGGACGGGGGAGGAGACGGAGUUAUUUCUACAAAUAAUAAAAGAGAAAAAUAUAACCGCCAUCCUUGACAGCAAACAACAGCGAAAUGCAGAGUUGUACAAGGAGCUAGAAGGGGAAAUGAGGGAGAAGCUCCCAUAUAUAUGGGCUUUGCCUUUGAAUUAUCAGCUGCUGCCUUCGUCUUCUGAUGACAGCAGCGGCAAGAGCAGUAAUGGUCACAGAAAUAGCUGCUCCAAAAUGUUUUGUAUCUCCUCCAUGUUGGUGUGCAAAAAGGCUUAAGGAAUACGAGGUUGCACAGGCAGGAAGUUUACCUCGUUGUUAACCUCGUUGUUUACCUUGUGGCAAUGGCCAUUCAAACACGGCUCGUGAGAGGCAGAUGGCUCGCUUAUGCACUGAACACCAUUCAAUGGAAACACCCCCAAAUCGCAAUGGUACUUUGUCGAAAUUUGAUAAACAUCGCUUUUAUUUUGCGAAAAAAUGUAAUGGAAACGCAGCUAGUGACUACAGACCAGUGGCCCUCACUUCACACAUUAUGAAAAACUGGAUUCCCUGCAGUUUGCAUUCAUGCAUUUGCAAAGAACACAUCGGAGUGGAUGAUGCUGUCCUCUACAUGCUUCACCGUGCCCUGUCUCAUCUGGAGGAACCUGGGGUUUAUGUGAGAUCAUGAUUUUCGACUUUUCAAGUGCAUUCACCACUCACUCACCAACAAGGGACACAUCAUCCACGAUCUCCUCACUGACUGCAAGCUGGACUUCCUCUGCAUCACUGAAACAUGGCAACAACCAAAUGACUUCUCAUCACUCAACGACUCCACCCCCCCCAACUUCACCUACCUCUCCCACCCCGCAGUCACGGCUCAUUCUCCUCAUUCGAACUCCUGGCACUUACACUCCCUGGACCCACUCUAACCGUUAUCGCCACCAUCUACCCCCCCCCCCCCCCCCCCAAGCCCCUCACCGACUUCCUAAAUGACUUCUCUGUUCUACUCACCCAUCUAUGCACACUCUCACCAAACACAAUAAUACUGGGGGACUUCAAUAUCCACAUUGACAACACCAACCUGCCCCUCACCAGAGACUUCUCAUCAUGCCUGGACAGUUUUGGACUCCAUCAAUUCAUCAACUUCCCGACACACACUAAAGGACACACUCUGGAUCUACUCUGCUGCUCUGGCCUCAUCCCAUCCAACUGCACAGCCGAUGAUCUCCAUGUAAGUGACCACCUCCUCAUCUCCUUCAGUAUUCCUCUCUGCCUCUCUAGAAUUAACUCACCACGCCUCAUUUCAUUCCGCAAUCUUAAGAACAUAAACAUUGACACUCUGCGCUCUAACAUCAACAAUAUUUUGAUCCUGGACUGUUCCGCUACCCCUGAUGAAAUAACAUCCCAUUACAACACCUGUUUAAAUAGCAUCCUCAACUCCCUCGCUCCAGUCAAAACACGCUCUGUUUCCUUCUCCACAACUGCUCCCUGGUACACCCCCCAUCUCCGCUCCAUUAAAACCAAAGGCCGCCAACUGGAAAGACUCUACAAGACAAAUGGACUCUCCAUUCACAAAGAAAUGUACACUAACCACAUCCGCCGCUACAAGGACUCAAUUUCUCAAGCCAAGACAGACCACUACUCCGCCCAGAUCAUAUUCAACAAAGGAAACACCAGAUCACUAUUCACUCUCCUCAACAAGUCUCUCCAGCCACCGGACCCCCACCCCCCCACCUGUAUUCAACCGACACCCGCAACACCCUAAUGCAGUUUUUAAUGACAAAAUGUCCAACAUCCACCAACAACUGCACUCAGGCUCUCUUCCCCCUGGACCACCUCUGACCCCACCAACUCCCCUGCCACACCGGCAGUACUUCUCCAGUUUUCUUCUCCCCGUUGACUCUGAAAUCUACGAUCUCAUCCGGAAAUCCAAACCCUCAACCUGUCAGCUGGAUCCUCUUCCCACCACACUGGUCAAAUCAUGCCUCCCGUCUGUGCUUCCUCUCAUAUCUGCCAUCAUUCACUCCUCACUCACCACUGGAACUGUUCCCGCAUCCCUCAAGACAGCAGCCAUCACCCCUCUACUGAAAAAACCUGGCUCUGACCCCAAUAACUUCAAUGACCUCCGCUCCAUCUCCAAUCGACUGUUCACAGCCAAAAUACUGGAAAAGGUCGUCGCUGGCCAACUACACUCCCACCUAACCCAGAACUCCCUCUACGACCCCUUCCAAUCUGGUUUCCGCCCCUGCCACAGCACCGAAACUGCACUGCUAAAAAUCACCAACGACCUUCUCACUGCAGCUGACUAAGGUUCACUUUCCAUCCUCAUCCUCCUCGACCUCAGUGCAGCCUUUGACACCAUCUCCCAUCCCAUCCUCCUCCGUAGACUCUCCUCCAUCGGCAUCUCCCACACCCCUCUCCGCAGGUUCCACUCUUACCUCUCAGACCGCACACAGUUCAUCCAGCUCAAAUCCUUCAAGUCCGACCCCUCCCCAGUCAGUUCAGGUGUGCCCCAGGGCUCUGUCCUGGGGCCCCUGCUGUUUAUCACCUACUUCUUCCCCCUUGGUUCCAUCUUCCAUAAAUUCAACAUUCAAUAUCGCUGCUACGCAGUGACACCCAGCUCUACCUCUCCAGCUCACCAAACUCCACCCUCCCACCUACCUCCCUCAUCACCUGCCUACCCGAAAUUAAAUCCUGGUUCACCGCCAACUUUCUCCAACUAAACAGUCAGAAUACAGAAAUUCUUCUAGUAGGUUCCAAAUUCACCUUUUUCCAAAGUUUACAGUCUCUCCCUUCCCAUCGACAGUUCCUCAGUUUCCCCCUCCCCUCAGGUCAAGAGUCUGGGUGUCGUCCUUGACAGUACUCUUUCCUUCAAAUCCCACAUCGGCCUUACCACUUGGACUGCCUACUUCCAUCUCCGCCACAUCAAUCGGCUCCGUCCCUCCCUCUCCCCCAACACCGCCUUCAUCCCCGUCCACAGUCUCGUCACCUCCCGUCUGGACUACUGCAACUCCCUCCUCUUCCGUCUCCCUCACACGUCUCUCCAUAAACUUCAACUGGUCCACAACUCCGCUGCCCAGAUCAUCACCAAAACCCCUUUGUCCCACCACAUCACCCCCAUACUGCAGCAGCUCCACUGGCUCCCGGUCCCACUUAGAAUCCAGUUCAAAUCUCUGCUCAGUGACCCAGACUUUGACAGUUACAUCAAAAGAGAGUGGGCGUCCUUCUUGGAAAUAAAUGAUUCCCCAAAGUCAUCACAUACACUUCUCUGGGAAACAAGCAAGGCAAUAAAACAAUUAGAAACGUUGAAUGCAAAUAAUCCAACAGAAGACACUCAAAAGGAAUUAAGAAAACACCAAUUACAACUAAACGACAUUUUAAACAAAAGAGCAAAAUUUUUAAUCCAUAGGUUAAGACAAGAAAACUAUCAUCACAACAACAAAUCUGGUAAAUACUUGGCAAAUCAAAUCAAACAAAAUAAAGAAAAAUCAAUAAUUUCCACCAUUAAGGACUCAGCAGGGAACCCCACCAACUCACCGCAGGAAAUAAAUGAAAUAUUUAGAAACUUUUACGCCAAAUUAUACUCAUCUGAUAAAGACCCAAGACAGGAGGAUAUUGAUUCAUUUUUUAAAGACAUUAAACUUCCACAACUUAAUACAGAUCAGGUCAAUACACUCGACUCACCAAUCACAGAAACAGAACUCUCUACUGCACUAAAUCUCAUGCCAAACAAUAAAGCACCAGGUCCCGAUGGCUUCCCUGCUGAGUUCUACAAACACUUCUGGUCCAUUUUAUCCCCACUCUUCAUGAAAACAAUAACUGAAAUAAAACAAAACUCUAAGUUUCCGAUACAUAUGAACACAGCUUUAAUCUCACUUCUCCCCAAACCAAAUAAAGAUCACACCUUGCCGUCAAAUUACCGUCCUAUCUCAUUAAUCAACGUAGACAUGAAAAUCAUCAGUAAAGCCCUCGCACUUAGGUUAGAAAAAGUCACACCUCACAUAAUUCACCCAGAUCAGACCGGCUUCAUUAAAGGUAGACAGGCAUCCAACAAUACACGUAGACUGUUCAAUUUAAUCCAUUACUCAUCAUUACAACAGGAAGACACCAUCAUAGCCACUUUAGACGCAGAAAAAGCUUUUGACAGGGUAAACUGGACUUCUCUCUUUCAUACACUACAGAAAUUUGGCUUUGGGGAAUCAUUUAUUAACUGGAUCAAGAUUCUGUACACCUCACCAUCAGCCACCGUCACUACUAAUGGUCUAACAUCACAAAGAUUCACACUGCACAGGGGGACCAGGCAAGGAUGCCCACUCUCUCCCUCCUUAUUCACAAUUUUCAUCGAGCCCUUAGCAACAGCCAUCCGUCAAAACUCCCAUAUCCAUGGAAUUAAAACACCCCAAAUACAGCACAAAAUAAGUUUAUAUGCAGACGAUAUUUUACUUUUUCUUCAAAAUCCCCAAUCAUCUCUGCAGGAAUUAAUAAAUCUCUUGCUACUCAAUAAACUGGAAUAAAUCAUCCAUCCUCCCAUUGCACAACACCAGAUGGGAUGUGACAGCCCAUACAUUUCCCAUUCCUCUAUGCACGGGUCACUUCACAUAUUUGGGUAUCAACAUUUCCUCCAGGUUGUCAGAGCUGAUAGAACUAAACUUCACUCCACUACUUAAAACAAUAGAUGACGACCUCCAACGCUGGAUGAAGCUACCACUAUCCAUUCUAGGCAGAAUACAAUUAAAAUGACAAUACUACCUAAGAUAAAUUAUCUUUUUUCAAUGAUCCCAACCCAUCCCACUUCCACCUGGUUCAACUCUCUAGACUCAAUAAUCACUAAAUUUUACUGGAAAAAUAAAACACCAAGGAUCAAACUGGCCACACUUCAAAAACCAAAAUUACAAGGCGGAUUAGAUGCACCACAUUUCAAUUAUUACUCUCUGGCAAAUCAACUACAGUACAUAUACAAAUGGACACACCCCAAUUACUCAGAUCACACCUGGUUAGACAUAGAACAGACACUCUGUAAAGAUAUCCGGAUUUCAGACACACAAUUUCUCAGUCUAUCAAUCAAACGCCACCCCUGUUUCAAAGCAAUAACAAUAGCAUCUGCUCUGACAGCCUGGUGGAAAUUUCACAAAAUCACAAAUACCACUCUUUCACCAUCUAGCCUCACCCCCAUUUAGAACAAUCCGGACCUCCUUUGCAACAAAAAAGCACUCAACUUUCACACAUGGGCAGGAAAGGGCAUCACACACCUUAAACACAUUUUCCAUAAUAACACCCUGGCAUCAUUUCCCCACCUGGUCCAGGAGUACGGCAUUGGGAGUAAUCAAUUUCUGGAAUAUUUACAGCUUAAGUCAUCUGUCAAAUCAAAAAUUAACAUCAGUUCCACAAAUCUAGACCUUUCACCUGCACUAUCAGAAUUUAUUAAUAUCCUUUCCCCCAAAAAACUCCUCUCCAAAAUAUAUAAAAUAAUAUUAGAAUCUGACAAAAUCAUAUCUCUACCAUCACAAAAAUGGCAACAAGACCUGGCAAUUGCUCCUGAUGCCGACUUCUGGACCCAGAUCUGUAAAAACAUUUAUCUUAUGACUAAAAAUGCUAACUUACAACUCAUACAAUAUAAGAUACUUCACAGAACUCACUACACUGGACAAAAAAUGUUUAAAAUGGGCUUCACCUCAGAAAUUUGCACCCACUGCACUCAAAACUGUCCCGACACCUACACUCACGCCAUUUGGCACUGCAACCCAAUCAAACACUUCUGGAAACUAGUCACCGAGUCAUUAUCACACCUCAUGGUGCGCAAAAUGUGGGGAUCCUGUGUGGGCCGCGGGCCGUGUCCCCCGCCCCUUUUUGGCCCCACUCUGCCCCAGUUUCUUUUUUUGGCCCCGGGCCAGUUCCAUGUCACAUGCAUCUCCGACUUUUAAUGCAUCACACACCAACCCUUCACACCCCACUUUUUAAUGCAUACAUCACAGGGAAGUUUUUAAUGCACCACAUGAACAUAACACAAGAGGAGAGUCAUGUGCGGCCCGGGGUAUUUAGAGGUGGAGUGGGUGGUCAGUUUGGUUGGCGGGUGGCCGCAGGGCCCUGUGGGGUGCCCCGCAGGCGUCCCACCACGGUGGACGUGGGUGCUGGUCGGCCUGCUUUUUGGGUGGUGCGGGGGGCCGGGCUGGCCUCUGGCCCGGGCCAUAGUGUUGUGGAUUGUGGUGGCUUUUGUUGUUCCAUAUCCUCAUUAGUAUGACUGUCAUUAUUGUUAGCGUCGUUGCGGUCAUUUGUUUGCUGUCAUUGCUGUCGCCGGUAUUCCUGGUGUUGUUACUGCUAAUGCUGUUGUGGUUGUUGUAUCGUCGUGUGUGUGGGAAUAUAUGUGUAUAUAUAUGUACACUCACCGGCCACUUUAUUAGGUACACCAUGCUAGUAACGGGUUGGACCCCCUUUUGCCUUCAGAACUGCCUCAAUUCUUCGUGGCAUAGAUUCAACAAGGUGCUGGAAGCAUUCCUCAGAGAGCUUGGUCCAUAUUGACAUAAUGGCAUCACACAGUUGCCGCAGAUUUGUCGGCUGCACAUCCAUGAUGCGAAUCUCCCGUUCCACCACAUCCCAAAGAUGCUCUAUUGGAUUGAGAUCUGGUGACUGUGGAGGCCAUUUGAGUACAGUGAACUCAUUGUCAUGUUCAAGAAACCAGUCUGAGAUGAUUCCAGCUUUAUGACAUGGCGCAUUAUCCUGCUGAAAGUAGCCAUCAGAAGUUGGGUACAUUGUGGUCAUAAAGGGAUGGACAUGGUCAGCAACAAUACUCAGGUAGGCUGUGGCGUUGCAACGAUGCUCAAUUGGUACCAAGGGGCCCAAAGAGUGCCAAGAAAAUAUUCCCCACACCAUGACACCACCACCACCAGCCUGAACCGUUGAUACAAGGCAGGAUGGAUCCAUGCUUUCAUGUUGUUGACGCCAAAUUCUGACCCUACCAUCCGAAUGUCGCAGCAGAAAUCGAGACUCAUCAGACCAGGCAAUGUUUUUCCAAUCUUCUAUUGUCCAAUUUCGAUGAGCUUGUGCAAAUUGUAGCCUCAGUUUCCUGUUCUUAGCUGAAAGGAGUGGCACCCGGUGUGGUCUUCUGCUGCUGUAGCCCAUCUGCCUCAAAGUUCGACGUACUGUGCGUUCAGAGAUGCUCUUCUGCCUACCUUGGUUGUAACGGGUGGUUAUUUGAGUCACUGUUGCCUUUCUAUCAGCUCGAACCAGUCUGGCUAUUCUCCUCUGACCUCUGGCAUCAACAAGGCAUUUCCGCCCACAGAACUGCCGCUCACUGGAUAUUUUUUCUUUUUUGGACCAUUCUCUGUUAACCCUAGAGAUGGUUGUGCGUGAAAAUCCCAGCAGAUCAGCAGUUUCUGAAAUACUCAGACCAGCCCUUCUGGCACCAACAACCAUGCCACGUUCAAAGUCACUCAAAUCACCUUUCUUCCCCAUACUGAUGCUCGGUUUGAACUGCAGGAGAUUGUCUUGACCAUGUCUACAUGCCUAAAUGCACUAAGUUGCCGCCAUGUGAUUGGCUGAUUAGAAAUUAAGUGUUAACGAGCAGUUGGACAGGUAUACCUAAUAAAGUGGCCGGUGAGUGUAUAUGUGUGUAUGUAUGUGUGCAUGUAUGUUUGUAUGUGUAUGUAUAUGUAUACAUAUAAUUAUUAUUAUAUAGAUAUUCCAAUGUAAUCCAAUUAAGAUUUUUUUUUUCUUUUCUUUUUAAAUUCUCUUUUACAUAUUAUAUAAAUUCCUUCCCCCCUCCCUCACAAAAGUAUUUUUGUAAAUUUUUAAUUUUUUUAUCUUUUUGUUGUUGUUGUUGUUUCUAUUGUUGUUGUCACUCUGUUUUGUUGUUAAAUAGAAUUUAAAAAAAAAAAAAAAAAGAAAUCCAGUUCAAAAUCCUCCUGUAUACCUUUAAAGCCAUCCACAACCUCGCCCCUCCUUACCUGUCUGACCUCCUCCACAUCGCCACUCCAUCAUGUUGCCUCCGAUCCUCUUCCUCUCUCCACCUCACUGUGCCCCCUUUUCACCUCAGCACCAUGGGGGGUAGAGCUUUCAUUCGCUCUCCCUCCCCCUCUUCAAAUCCAAACUCAAGACACACCUGUUUAAACUGGCCUAUCCAUCCCACCACCCCGAACUCACUCUUUUAAUUUAAUUUGAAUUGGUAUUAUUUAUUUCUUUAUUUAUUCCUUUGCUGUUGUUUAUGCUGCUUCGUUGAUUUUAACUGUUUUGAUGAUUGAUGAUUUUAAUUGUUAAUAGUGUUUCGUUAUCAUUAUCAUAUGUUCUGUAUAGUGUCCUUGAGUGACAUGAAAGGCGCUCCAGAUAAAAUGUGUUAUUAUAAUUAUUUUACCAUCCAACCCACCAUCCUUCCUGUGUUUCCUGGAUCGCAGAUUACCUGACAAGAAGGCACAAUUUGUCAGUCUGGGGAACUGUGUUUCUGGGACAUUAAUGAGCAGUACAGGGGCUCCACAAGGGACAGUGCUGGCGCCAUUCCUGUUCAGCGGUGUGUCAGGUGUGCUGGUACUUUUACUCACUCACUUACAACAUGGAGACGUGGACUCUCCACAUUUUAUCUGCAGUGUACUAAAAAUAUUCUAAUUUCUAAGUUAUCUGCAGGCUUCUGUUGCACAAUGUUUUUAAGUAUCCCAUCUCAAUAAAUGAGAAUAUAUUUAUUUUUAUUUGUUGAGGAGUACCUGUACUGUAUGCUGUUAGCUUGCUUCUGUGAGGCUCACAGCUAGAACACUGCAGCAGCAUGCCUUGAUGUUGAAUGUUGUGUAUGUUGUUGCAAAGUUUAUUUCAGGGGUACAGUAUCAGGGGAAGGUACUAAAACAGUAGAGGAGAUAAGAGUGUGCAACUUUCUUUAUUGUUCUUGUUCAAAUGAUCCUUAGUCGGCACCUUGUCAAACUUGGGUGUGCUCCUCUUGUACAAAGCCUACAGGUACAGUAAGAACCUCAUCCAACGUUCACCCCCUCCCAAAUCCAUCGAUCAGUGAUGAGAACAAUGAGGAGUAUAAGGUCCAUUAGUCCACUGAAACAGAUAGCCGCGAUCCGGUUUGAUUGCAUUCACGCUGACUGCAAUCAGUAUGAGUGGUGACAGCGGACGCUUUUCGACAUUAAAGAAGGAAAUAUUGAUAAUAUAUCUUCGUUAGCACCAAGUGUUUCGUUUCUAUUUAUUUGAAGCGUGGAUCAUAGUUGUGGAGACGUCCACACAAACAUUGAAUACUAGCAACAAGCAAGGUGUACAGGCUGUGUUAAUUACAUUGAAUAUCAGUUGAACGAAUGAUACACAGAUUCACUGCCCCCUAUCGGCCAGAAGUGGCCAGAACGAGUGGGGUCAGUGACGUCACUUUUCUGCGCCACUUGAGAUUGAGAAUCAGAUUGAAUUAUGAGACAGUUUUUGCGGGGCGAGCACGAAAACGACAAAGCAUUUCUGCGUUUGCUUUUGCUUUUUAAUUUAGUCACAAAAUGAGCAGUCUUAAAGAAGAAAAUGAAAAUGCAUUUUGGAAUAUUGCUUUUGAUUUUUAUUUUUGAGUCAAAACGCAUUUCUGCUAAUGCUGUUGAAUUUGAGAUAUGAGUCACAAUCGCAUCCAUAAUGCUUAAUGCGCCCUUUUUAACAACCCAUAGCUGGUAGUCUGCUGUGUUUUGUAACUCGUCCCAUAGCUCAGCUGCCAAGUUGCUGAUGUGAGCCUGUGACAGUGUGUUAGGCAGAAAUGUCAAAAAUUACGGGAAAAGGAGCGUCCCGUUUUAGUUCAUUACGGGACAUGUCUUUUUGUUUUCGAAUACGGUAUGAUCCAAUUUUUUACGGUACGGUUGGGAACCAUAGUGGGGACUAGCAUGCCCUGGUCUUUGUCUUGUUUAGAGUCAGUACACUCUGCGUGAUCACCUACCAUAAAACUGUAGUUUAGGACUGCGCACAACAUGAUCACGUGCUUCCUACUUACCCAACCACCGUAAUAACAGUUGUUCUAGUAUACACGCAACAUUUUCUUCCUCAUUAAUGAAAAUGCUUUUUCCUCCUUCAUGAAACACUAAAAUCGGGAACAUUUCUGGGGAAAGCUUUUGCUAGGGACAGGUUAUCCAAAACGGGGACUGUCUCCGUAAAUCUGGGACAUCUAGUCACCCUACAUAACGCAGAAUUUAAUUGAACCAUGUAACAUUGUGAAUAAAAUGUAUGUAAAUCCAGCGAAAUGUGGGAUAAUCGUCAUCUGCUGUCUAUUGUGUGUGUGGCUGAAAACAAUAUGGAAAGAGGGAUUGUGGGAAAUCCUCAGCAGAAAUGAGGAUUCAACCAAGAAGUAACAUGUCCCAAUGUCUGGGCAAAAACUUUGUUUGGGGUGUUGGAGUCAUGUUAAAAUUAAUCUUAUAGUGUGUAUGGAUUUGCUGUGUGUUUAUGUUGAUUUUUUCAUGUUCUCCACAACUACAAUGGUGUUUUUGUUGUUUUGUUGCCGACGGAAAUGUGUAGCACGGAGCGAGCAGUAUUAGCUUAAUACGAUCAUUUUUUCUUCUGUCGUGUCGUUAUGUUAAUUUCACGUUCAUCCCAUGCCAGUUAUUGACAUGUUGAAUAUAAAAAUAUAUUAGGGUAAGAGCUGAUAAGAAUGUGUAGCUUGUAUAUUAAAAUUAACUUUCAACACACAUUCACUUUUUAUUUUGUUAUAUUCACAGAUAUCUCGGUAUUAAAAAAUCCACUAUAAGAUCACAGUAAAAGUAGUUUAAAGUGUUUUAUUGUAUUUGUUUCAUAGCUACUCUUUAUUUGUGAUAUAGAGUAGAAAUAAUGUGAUAAGUAUCACGUUAUUUUGUGAUAUUUAUCAUGUUAUUUCAUGAUACUGACCCUUUUUUUCGGUGGCAACUAUACGUUUCUGUAGGAAUGCGUAAAGCAGUUUAUAUGGGUCUGCAUGAUAUACCUCUGCAUGUACACCUAAAAAAAAUGAAAUAUCGUGACAAUGUUCAGUAUUUUUUGUCAUUCAAUUCAUACAGUAAAAAAACAAAUAAAGAUUUAUUACAUAAAGAAAUAUUUCAAACCUUUAUUUCUUGAAAUGUUGAUGAUUAUGGCUUACAGAUAAUGAAAACCCAAAAUUCAGUGUCUCAGAAAAUGAGAAUAUUGUGAAGUCAUGAAGUCAUUCAGCUAAUGAACUCCAAACACCUGCAAAGGUUUCCUGAGCCUUUAAAUGGUCUCUUAGUAUGGGUCGGUUAGCUACACAAUUAUGGUGAAGACUGCAGACUCGACAGAUGUCCAGAAGACAGUCAUUGUGGAGGGUGUCGAUGAUGUUUCAAGAAAUGAAGGCUUGAAAUCAUAAAUCUAUAUAUGGGUUUCACUUUACGUGGAAAAAAAAUUAAUAAAUAUUGAAAUUUGUCAUAAUCCAAUUUUUUAGGUGUACCUGUACAUGGCAAUCACUUCCUGAAGAAGUGAAUGGGUGACUGUCUAAGAAAAAUUAAUAGAAACACUGUCACUUGCAACAUAGAUGGAAAAGAGAUAUCAGCAGUGGUAUUUUCUUCUGGCAGAGCCCAGUGCACUGCCAGUUUGGUAUUUUCAUGGACUGAGGCGCACAGAGGUCCGCUAAGCUGGGUGUGGUGAUGCGGCAGGGGGAGGUGUUGACAGAAUCAGCUGGCGCAGUGACAUUUUCGUGCCUGGCAGCUGCGUAGAAAUUGCGCUGAAAGCUUGCUGAUUCAAACCUGGUCAGCUCUCAGCACAGGUGGAGCACAGCUGGUCUAGUGGUAUUUUGGUAGACGGCGACGUAGUGCGCAUACAUCACCGUUCCCUCACCAGCAGGUUUCCACAGUGGCAGGCACAUUUCAGUGCAAUAAAUAAUCAACAAUAAUUAAUAUUCUGAGUCAGCACAUACAUUUACAUGUAUAUCGAUAUAUUCUGAUCUAUACAACAUAUUGUAGCAGCUGGGGGCGGGGUUGACGGAGAAUGGAAUUACAUGUAGUAAAAUACUAUAACAACUAUUUACCAAUUAACUAAUCAACUACUGAUUACCAACUACGAAAUGAUUUUAUUGCCAACAACGCCACCCCAGGAAUUUCACCUGGAGAGUAGAAUUACCUCUUAAUGAAGUGUUAAGGCGCACACAGGUUUGUCUGCCAGUGAAGACGGGAGGCCCUGGUCCAGUGUACAAAUACCUUUGAUUUUUAUUUCACAAUUUCACCAAUAAACAAAGUCAAUAAAAUAUUUUUCACUCAUUCACCUACACUCAUUCACACACAAACACACACACGUCUCUAAACCAUAGCAACAAUAUUGCCUAUAAAACUGAUGUGCAAUUAGCGAAUUUUGGUUAAAUCAGAAAUAAACCACAAAUACAAAACAAAGAAAAUUAGCAAGCAAAGAAAAGAAAAUAACUCAAUCGUAUUUAGAAAUGACCAAACCAAACAAAAAUGCUAAUAAAUCAAAUACUAAUAACUAACAAAAAAAUAAUAAUAACCAAACCAAAGAAACAAAACAUACAAACACCCAAAUCACAAAAUAAUAACAAAUGAUUUAAACCAUAAUGGGAUAAAUGCCAACAAAAUGAGGAAGCUGAGGCAACAGGUUACCUAAAGUUUAGUCCACAGGGUGAUGACGUCACCUCACACUAAACAAGACACCACCCAUUCAAAGUUGGAUGGUGACAGCCUUACCAACGGCGAUGAGACAGGAGUACAAUGAAGCAGGCAACAGUGGUAGCAGUAACAACCACAGCGCAGCUGCAAAGGAGCAAAACGGCAGCACAGGAGCAAAACAGCA